rnacentral:rRNA from 1 species
GACGAACGCUGGCGGCGUGCCUAAUACAUGCAAGUCGAACGAGUUGCGAACGGGUGAGUAACGCGUGGUAACCUGCCUCUUAGCGGGGGAUAACUAUUGGAAACGGUAGCUAAUACCGCAUACCCUCUGAUGUGCCCAGAUGGGAUUAGCUAGUUGGUGGGGUAACGGCUAACCUAGGCGACGAUCCCUAGCUGGCCUGAGAGGAUGACCAGCCACACUGGAACUGAGACACGGUCCAGACUCCUACGGGAGGCAGCAGUGGGGAAUAUUGCACAAUGGGCGCAAGCCUGAUGCAGCCAUGCCGCGUGUAUGAAGAAGGCCUUCGGGUUGUAAAGUACUUUCAGCGGGGAGGCGUUACUCGCAGAAGAAGCACCGGCUAACUCCGUGCCAGCAGCCGCGGUAAUUC